AAACGGGAACGCGCCUCGCUUGGUCGAUGAACGCUCUUUAAUUAUCCUCAUUUAAUAAAAACCGAAUCCGAGUCCCUUGGAGACGACAUCCUGAGAUUCAGUUACCGCAAGACCUGAAGAGAACUGACCAGUAACCCUGACCCUGGAGUUUUAAGCGGAGACAGAAACCUGCCCUGGGAUUUCUAACUACGCUCUGGAAGCAGGACAGCAAAGGCCUCCACCGCCUGGCUGUGGACCACCUCGGACACGUCCACAUCGUUCACACGCAGCACG